UACGUAGGGUGCGAGCGUUAAUCGGAAUUACUGGGCGUAAAGCGUGCGCAGGCGGUUCGUUAAGUCAGAUGUGAAAGCCCCCGGCUCAACUGGGGAGGGUCACUCGAUACUGAUCGACUUGAAGGCAGGAGAGGGAAGCGGAAUUCCCGGUGUAGUGGUGAAAUGCGUAGAUAUCGGGAGGAACACCAGUGGCGAAGGCGGCUUCCUGGCCUGUUCUUGACGCUGAGGCGCGAAAGCUAGGGGAGCAAACGGG
rnacentral:rRNA from 1 species